UGAAGCGUGGACGCCAGUCUGCAUGGAGCCGACCUUGAAAUACCACCCUUUAAUGUUUGAUGUUCUAACGUGGACCCGUGAUCCGGGUUGCGGACAGUGUCUGGUGGGUAGUUUGACUGGGGCGGUCUCCUCCUAAAGAGUAACGGAGGAGCACGAAGGUUGGCUAAUCCUGGUCGGACAUCAGGAGGUUAGUGCAAUGGCAUAAGCCAGCUUGACUGCGAGCGUGACGGCGCGAGCAGGUGCGAAAGCAGGUCAUAGUGAUCCGGUGGUUCUGAAUGGAAGGGCCAUCGCUCAACGGAUAAAAGGUACUCCGGGGAUAACAGGCUGAUACCGCCCAAGAGUUCAUAUCGACGGCGGUGUUUGGCACCUCGAUGUCGGCUCAUCACAUCCUGGGGCUGAAGUAGGUCCCAAGGGUAUGGCUGUUCGCCAUUUAAAGUGGUACGCGAGCUGGGUUUAGAACGUCGUGAGACAGUUCGGUCCCUAUCUGCCGUGGGCGCUGGAGAACUGAGGGGGGCUGCUCCUAGUACGAGAGGACCGGAGUGGACGCAUCACUGGUGUUCGGGUUGUCAUGCCAAUGGCACUGCCCGGUAGCUAAAUGCGGAAGAGAUAAGUGCUGAAAGCAUCUAAGCACGAAACUUGCCCCGA
rnacentral:rRNA from 1 species